rnacentral:rRNA from 1 species
UACGAAGGGGGCUAGCGUUGCUCGGAAUCACUGGGCGUAAAGCGCACGUAGGCGGCUUGUUAAGUCAGGGGUGAAAUCCUGGAGCUCAACUCCAGAACUGCCUUUGAUACUGAAGAUCUUGAGUUCGGGAGAGGUGAGUGGAACUGCGAGUGUAGAGGUGAAAUUCGUAGAUAUUGGGAAGAACACCGGUGGCGAAGGCGGCUAUCUGGACCGACAUUGACGCCGAGGCGCGAAAGCGUGGGGAGCAAACAGG